rnacentral:lncRNA from 1 species
UGGUCAUCUGUUAAUUGACUUGCUUAUUUGCUUUUCGUAAAAAACAUCUCAUCAGCAUUUCUCUGAGAAAAUUGAGAGAUGUGGGUUUGAGUCAGUGUAUAAAUAGUAGCUCCUCUCUCAUGGACUCACCCUGAUCAUCUAUCCUUUCAUCUAGUCAACAGAUAUUUAUAAUCAAGAAUGAAAAGUGAAAACUCGAGAAGGCAUUUGUCAGUUAACCAAGAGAUGAGACUUAUGGAUUAUCACCACUGCUCUUAAGUGAGGUGUAUUGGCCAGAGUUCUGCUGAAAAUGACCCUAGACUGAGAUUCAAGUGUGCCUUCCAGAACCACACCAUCAAACUGAACUACAAGGGA